GGUCAAUAGCCUAACGGCUGAACCAGCAACUGGAGGAAUGUAUAGCAAUAGCUAAUUGCAUCAAUGUUUAAAUAAUUGAUGCAAUAUCGACUCUGUCGAAUAAAAUUCUAGGUAGAAUUAUGAUAAUGACAUUGUCUACCUAUGUGUCUUGACCAAAUUACGUGCCAGCAGUCGCGGUAAUACGUAGAAGACUAGUGUUAUUCAUCUUUAAUAGGUUUAAAGGGUACCUAGACGGUAAAUCAAGCCUGCAAUAUGGGACUAAUGUACUAGAGUUACUUACGAGGGGGUAUUGAAGUACUGCUGGUGUAGAGAUGAAAUUCUGUCAUACCUCGUUUCGGAAGAAACACUAUGGCACAGGUAUAGGCGAAAGCAUCCCCUUAUGUGAUAACUGACGUUGAAGGACGAAGGCUUUGUGUAGCGAACAGGAUUAGAUACCCCAGUAGUCAAAGCAGAAAAUGAUGAAUGUCAUAGAUUAGAUGUAUAGUUUAUUCUAUAAAUGAAAGUGUAAGCAUUCCACCUCAAGAGUAAUUUGGCAACAUUGGAACUGAAAUCAUUAGACCGUUUCUGAAACCAGUAGUGAAGUAUGUUGUUUAAUUUGAUGAUCCGCAAAAAACCUUACCACAAUUUGAAUAUUUAGAUUUUUAUUUUCUUUUGAAGAAAUAAUAAAUCCAUUUACAAGCGUUGCACGGCUGUCUUCAGUUAAUGUCGUGAGAUCAUGGUUAGUUCCAUUAAUUAACGUAAACCCUUACUUUAUUUUUAUAUAGAGUUGUUCCCCGCUAGAUUGGAUAAGAUAACAGGACUAAGACAAGUCAUCAUGGCCUA
rnacentral:rRNA from 1 species